AGCCAUCAGGAAUAGGGGGACUUUU
rnacentral:piRNA from 1 species